CCCUACGGGGCGCAGCAGUGAGGAAUAUUGGUCAAUGGGCGGGAGCCUGAACCAGCCAAGUCGCGUGAGGGAAGAAGGUACUGAGUAUUGUAAACCUCUUUUGCCAGGGGACAAAGGCGGCCACGGGUGGCCGUAAGAGGGUACCUGGAGAAAAAGCAUCGGCUAACUCCGUGCCAGCAGCCGCGGUAAUACGGAGGAUGCGAGCGUUAUCCGGAUUUACUGGGUGUAAAGGGAGCGUAGACGGCGGUGCAAGCCAGAUGUGAAAGCCCGGGGCUCAACCCCGGGACUGCAUUUGGAACUGUGCU
rnacentral:rRNA from 1 species